GGCGGGCGGAGCCCGGCGCCGCGGCCAGGAUUUCCCACCUCGCUCCCGCGACUCCGCUGCGGGUCUGCACACCCGAGGACUCGGGGUACUUAACCGAAACUAGCAAUCCCAGGCGGUACAAGGCCCUCCAUCGUAGGCAAAGCACUACCUGAAUGUAGAUUUGGGCCAUACGUUGGAAAAUAAGACAUGAGAGUAUGCUCCGAUCAACUUUUACUGUUCACUGGACAACUAUUUUGGGAAUUUGCAGACCUAUAAAGCCCAUCUAUAAAUCUCAAGCAUGUCCACUUUCAGAGAAGAGAAAUGCUGACAACCAUUUAGUCUCUGAGGACAACACUUUUAAAGAAAUUGCACAGCCACUACAAGCUUCAGCAGUCACCAUCUCCAUCAGUCAGCAGCCAUCAACAUCAAGGCAAGACCCUCCAUCAGCAAAAAGAAUACAACUCGAUGAAGGUUCAGAUGAUCUUUAACAUUUCUUGGCAAUAAAGUAUUUGAUAAUUAA
rnacentral:lncRNA from 1 species